rnacentral:rRNA from 1 species
AUGAUCGAGAAAGGUGAGAGUUAUGAGAAGAUCAAGGAGAAAAAUCCUUCGAUCACCGAAGAUGACUACAACGACUUCAAGAUCAAUUGCUCGAGCACCGCAAGCUCCCAAUCAAGUGAGUGGGGGAAACAAAUGCGGGAGCUGAACAUAGGGGAACACACACUCGGUCCCGGCGGUUACAGAGUGGCGGAGCCUAUAUGGGACAAGGAGGAGGCGGACCGUGCCGAGCAAGGCCUACCGCCCCUCUUCGAUAAAUACGGUGACAAGCAGACCAGGAACUUUGUUAGGGCCCGGUACAAGAAGGACCCGAAAACAAAGGAGCUUACCAUAGAUCCGAAGACCAGGCAGCUUGAGCUUGUUCUGGUAAGGAAUACACCCCCGCGUAAUUAG